AACGAACGCUGGCGGCAGGCCUAACACAUGCAAGUCGAACGCGCGUAGCAAUACGUGAGUGGCAGACGGGUGAGGAACACGUGGGAACAUGCCCUUUGGUUCGGAAUAACUCAGGGAAACUUGAGCUAAUACCGGAUAAGCCCUUCGGGGGAAAGAUUUAUCGCCAUUGGAGUGGCCCGCGUCCGAUUAGCUAGUUGGUGAGGUAAUGGCUCACCAAGGCGACGAUCGGUAGCUGGUCUGAGAGGAUGAUCAGCCACAUUGGGACUGAGACACGGCCCAAACUCCUACGGGAGGCAGCAGUGGGGAAUAUUGGACAAUGGGCGCAAGCCUGAUCCAGCCAUGCCGCGUGAGUGAUGACGGCCCUAGGGUUGUAAAGCUCUUUCACCCACGACGAUAAUGACGGUAGUGGGAGAAGAAGCCCCGGCUAACUUCGUGCCAGCCGCCGCCGUAACAC
rnacentral:rRNA from 1 species